rnacentral:rRNA from 1 species
GGUUAAGCGACUAAGCGUACACGGUGGAUGCCCUGGCAGUCAGAGGCGAUGAAGGACGUGCUAAUCUGCGAUAAGCGUCGGUAAGGUGAUAUGAACCGUUAUAACCGGCGAUUUCCGAAUGGGGAAACCCAGUGUGUUUCGACACACUAUCAUUAACUGAAUCCAUAGGUUAAUGAGGCGAACCGGGGGAACUGAAACAUCUAAGUACCCCGAGGAAAAGAAAUCAACCGAGAUUCCCCCAGUAGCGGCGAGCGAACGGGGAGCAGCCCAGAGCCUGAAUCAGUGUGUGUGUUAGUGGAAGCGUCUGGAAAGGCGCGCGAUACAGGGUGACAGCCCCGUACACAAAAAUGCACAUGCUGUGAGCUCGAUGAGUAGGGCGGGACACGUGGUAUCCUGUCUGAAUAUGGGGGGACCAUCCUCCAAGGCUAAAUACUCCUGACUGACCGAUAGUGAACCAGUACCGUGAGGGAAAGGCGAAAAGAACCCCGGCGAGGGGAGUGAAAAAGAACCUGAAACCGUGUACGUACAAGCAGUGGGAGCACGCUUAGGCGUGUGACUGCGUACCUUUUGUAUAAUGGGUCAGCGACUUAUAUUCUGUAGCAAGGUUAACCGAAUAGGGGAGCCGAAGGGAAACCGAGUCUUAACUGGGCGUUAAGUUGCAGGGUAUAGACCCGAAACCCGGUGAUCUAGCCAUGGGCAGGUUGAAGGUUGGGUAACACUAACUGGAGGACCGAACCGACUAAUGUUGAAAAAUUAGCGGAUGACUUGUGGCUGGGGGUGAAAGGCCAAUCAAACCGGGAGAUAGCUGGUUCUCCCCGAAAGCUAUUUAGGUAGCGCCUCGUGAAUUCAUCUCCGGGGGUAGAGCACUGUUUCGGCAAGGGGGUCAUCCCGACUUACCAACCCGAUGCAAACUGCGAAUACCGGAGAAUGUUAUCACGGGAGACACACGGCGGGUGCUAACGUCCGUCGUGAAGAGGGAAACAACCCAGACCGCCAGCUAAGGUCCCAAAGUCAUGGUUAAGUGGGAAACGAUGUGGGAAGGCCCAGACAGCCAGGAUGUUGGCUUAGAAGCAGCCAUCAUUUAAAGAAAGCGUAAUAGCUCACUGGUCGAGUCGGCCUGCGCGGAAGAUGUAACGGGGCUAAACCAUGCACCGAAGCUGCGGCAGCGACGCUUAUGCGUUGUUGGGUAGGGGAGCGUUCUGUAAGCCUGUGAAGGUGUGCUGUGAGGCAUGCUGGAGGUAUCAGAAGUGCGAAUGCUGACAUAAGUAACGAUAAAGCGGGUGAAAAGCCCGCUCGCCGGAAGACCAAGGGUUCCUGUCCAACGUUAAUCGGGGCAGGGUGAGUCGACCCCUAAGGCGAGGCCGAAAGGCGUAGUCGAUGGGAAACAGGUUAAUAUUCCUGUACUUGGUGUUACUGCGAAGGGGGGACGGAGAAGGCUAUGUUGGCCGGGCGACGGUUGUCCCGGUUUAAGCGUGUAGGCUGGUUUUCCAGGCAAAUCCGGAAAAUCAAGGCUGAGGCGUGAUGACGAGGCACUACGGUGCUGAAGCAACAAAUGCCCUGCUUCCAGGAAAAGCCUCUAAGCAUCAGGUAACAUCAAAUCGUACCCCAAACCGACACAGGUGGUCAGGUAGAGAAUACCAAGGCGCUUGAGAGAACUCGGGUGAAGGAACUAGGCAAAAUGGUGCCGUAACUUCGGGAGAAGGCACGCUGAUAUGUAGGUGAAGUCCCUCGCGGAUGGAGCUGAAAUCAGUCGAAGAUACCAGCUGGCUGCAACUGUUUAUUAAAAACACAGCACUGUGCAAACACGAAAGUGGACGUAUACGGUGUGACGCCUGCCCGGUGCCGGAAGGUUAAUUGAUGGGGUUAGCCGCAAGGCGAAGCUCUUGAUCGAAGCCCCGGUAAACGGCGGCCGUAACUAUAACGGUCCUAAGGUAGCGAAAUUCCUUGUCGGGUAAGUUCCGACCUGCACGAAUGGCGUAAUGAUGGCCAGGCUGUCUCCACCCGAGACUCAGUGAAAUUGAACUCGCUGUGAAGAUGCAGUGUACCCGCGGCAAGACGGAAAGACCCCGUGAACCUUUACUAUAGCUUGACACUGAACAUUGAGCCUUGAUGUGUAGGAUAGGUGGGAGGCUUUGAAGUGUGGACGCCAGUCUGCAUGGAGCCGACCUUGAAAUACCACCCUUUAAUGUUUGAUGUUCUAACGUUGACCCGUAAUCCGGGUUGCGGACAGUGUCUGGUGGGUAGUUUGACUGGGGCGGUCUCCUCCUAAAGAGUAACGGAGGAGCACGAAGGUUGGCUAAUCCUGGUCGGACAUCAGGAGGUUAGUGCAAUGGCAUAAGCCAGCUUGACUGCGAGCGUGACGGCGCGAGCAGGUGCGAAAGCAGGUCAUAGUGAUCCGGUGGUUCUGAAUGGAAGGGCCAUCGCUCAACGGAUAAAAGGUACUCCGGGGAUAACAGGCUGAUACCGCCCAAGAGUUCAUAUCGACGGCGGUGUUUGGCACCUCGAUGUCGGCUCAUCACAUCCUGGGGCUGAAGUAGGUCCCAAGGGUAUGGCUGUUCGCCAUUUAAAGUGGUACGCGAGCUGGGUUUAGAACGUCGUGAGACAGUUCGGUCCCUAUCUGCCGUGGGCGCUGGAGAACUGAGGGGGGCUGCUCCUAGUACGAGAGGACCGGAGUGGACGCAUCACUGGUGUUCGGGUUGUCAUGCCAAUGGCACUGCCCGGUAGCUAAAUGCGGAAGAGAUAAGUGCUGAAAGCAUCUAAGCACGAAACUUGCCCCGAGAUGAGUUCUCCCUGACCCUUUAAGGGUCCUGAAGGAACGUUGAAGACGACGACGUUGAUAGGCCGGGUGUGUAAGCGCAGCGAUGCGUUGAGCUAACCGGUACUAAUGAACCGUGAGGCUUAACCUU